rnacentral:rRNA from 1 species
GCCUACGGGGGGCAGCAGUGGGGAAUAUUGCACAAUGGGGGGAACCCUGAUGCAGCGACGCCGCGUGAGUGAAGAAGUAUUUCGGUACGUAAAGCUCUAUCAGCAGGGAAGAAAAAAGGACGGUACCUGAGUAAGAAGCCCCGGCUAACUACGUGCCAGCAGCCGCGGUAAUACGUAGGGGGCAAGCGUUAUCCGGAAUUACUGGGUGUAAAGGGAGCGUAGACGGGAUGUCAAGUUAGUUGUGAAAUACCUCGGCUCAACUGAGGAACUGCAACUAAAACUAACAUUCUUGAGUGCAGGAGAGG